rnacentral:lncRNA from 1 species
UUUAGUAGCGUAUGAUACUCCCACUAUUUGUUUUGAGAAAAACAAAUCAAUAUCAAAAACGAAUUUUUCAAAUAUUGGAAGUAACUACUACUACUAACGUUUUUGCAUUCCUUUGAAAUUGGACUUUAUAGUUAUCUUAGGCUCUUGGAUGACCAUGGACUUAUAAGGUUAUUGCAACAACGAGCCAUCAUUGUUGAAUAUAAACUCGGGGAGGUUUGUGUCAAUUUAAUUACGUGCUUAUCAAUCCAAUUAAAAACCAUUUUCAUUGAGCCAUUAGAAAUGAAAGACAAUCAUUCAUUGCUAAUUGGGGCAUUGGACCCUUUUAAUCUUUUAAUCUCAUGUCAAAACCCUCUUUUAGUUAUGUCUCCUUACCAAUGGUUAAAGAAACUCUAGUCUAGCACUAGAGUGAAUCAACUAACGAAUAGAGAUUAAGAAGUAAUAAGAAUUACAAACCGAUUUGUACAAAUUCCUAUAAAUUACAUAUACUAAAAGGGGAGAGAUAGAUUAACGUCAAACAUGACAAGGUCCAAUUAAACAGUAAUUAAAACACAUUCCCAAGGUUCAAACAAUUUGAUUUUAGCGCCUUAUCUCAUAGCUCAAUUAUCGUUUAAGGCAUAAGUCCAAAGUCAUCCAUUUUACAAUUACUUAAACACAUUUAAAUAAUCAUAAUGGAAUGCAACAUAAACAUUUAGAUUUAGUGCAUAUGGGCAUAAUAUAAUUAUGAGUUUAAACAACUAACAAAAUUAAAAUCAAAUAUUUUAACUUUCUAGUUAGUAGGGGCCUUUAUGCAAAUAUGAAAAAGUUAGGGGUCAAACCGUAAAUAUUCAAAGUAUAAAAUAUCUUUUCCAAAUUACAAAAUACCCCACAAGUGGGUAUACAACUAGGGGAGGCCGGCCAUGAAUUGGGGAGAAGAUAGAAAGUCUCACUUAUCUUCCCUUAAAUCAUGUAAAGUAGAAUAAAAUCAUAAUUUUGCUUGUCACUUGGUUUUGGUUUAAAUGAUUUUAUUUCAAAAGGUGAUGGAAAUCUCUUAGAUAAGCUUAUGGUUUUAUAAGUUUUAAAAUGAUUAUGGAUGGUAAGAACAACAUCCAAAACCAUAAAACUAUGCAUGAAAACCAAAUAAAAACACUUUCACCUAAAACCAAACCAUGAACACCAAGAACAAAACCAUGAACAUAUUUUCAAGAUUUGUGUAUUCUUGGUGAAUUUUCAAACCCAAAAACAAAAGUGACAAGGUUUCUACUUUCUAGCUUUGAAAUGAUGUGUGAGUGUCUUACAAUAAAACACAAACAUAUGCUCAAACCUUCCCCAAAAACGUGCCAACCACAAAGAACAAAACCCCAAAAUUUGUUCAUGACUUAUUCUUCAUUUCAUGCAUACAAAACAACUUUUACAUGCAUAUCUUUUUCAACUCUUGAUUUACAUUUUUCAACCAUUGAAAAACAAAAGAUAAACAUACUUUUAAAUGAAGAAAUCAUUUGUCAAAACUCAUCUUUCAUUCAUGCAUACAAAACAACUUUUGCAUACAUAUCUUUCUCAACUUUUGAUUAACAUUUUUCAACUUUUGAAAAACAAAAGAUAAACAUACUUUGAAUGAAACAAUAAUAUGUCAUACAUAACAUUAAUACCCAUAUACAUAAAAUCCAAAAGGACACAUUAUACAUAAACCUUUGGCUCUGAUACCAAUUGAAGGGAAAUCUAUGAGUUUCAUGUGGGAUU